AGCGAACGCUGGCGGCAGGCCUAACACAUGCAAGUCGAGCGGACGUAGCAAUACGUCAGCGGCAGACGGGAGAGUAACACGUGGGAAUGCGCCCUUCGGUUCGGGAUAACUCAGGGAAACUUGGGCUAAUACCGGAUACGCCCUUACGGGGAAAGAUUUAUUGCCGAAGGAACGGCCCGCGACCGAUUAGCUUGUUGGUGAGGUAACGGCUCACCAAGGCGACGAUCGGUAGCUGGUCUGAGAGGAUGACCAGCCUCACUGGGACUGAGACACGGCCCAGACUCCGACGGGAGGCAGCAGUGGGGAAUAUUGGACAAUGGGCGCAAGCCUGAUCCAGCCAUGCCGCGUGGGUGAUGAAGGCCCUAGGGUUGUAAAGCCCUUUCGGCGGGGAAGAUAAUGACGGUACCCGCAGAAGAAGCCCCGGCUAACUUCGUGCCAGCAGCCGCAGUAAAAC
rnacentral:rRNA from 1 species